ensembl:lncRNA
AGUCCCACAGAUCAUCUUGAGGUAACAAACUGCUCAGAGGACAGACACAGUCCACCUGUCAGAGUCACGGAUGGAGAUUUAAGCAGAAAAUCACCUUCUCAUGACCUGGAGCAUCUGAGACCAGUUGAGCACACAGCAAACCUGUUAGAUGCCAUCAGACAGGUUCCAGAAAGACGUUGUGUGACGGCGCCAUGUGGAGAUCGUUCACGGUCCUACAUACAUCUGAAGUCCUCAACCAACAUGGGUUACUCAAAACAAAUCAUGCAAAUUCCUCAUAUUACAGAGGAACAGAUGGAGGAGCCAAUUAAAUCCAGUCCAGAGUUCUGCCUCCUCUCAUCUGUCUCGGAGGAACUGCAGGAUUUGGAACCACAAACAUUCCAGAUCAUGGAGGAGGAAGUGACAUCACUUGAUCCGUCCCGAUCCGGAAUCAUCCAUCAGUCAGAACUCACGGGUCUCUUCCUCAGACUGAAGCUCCCUCUGAAGCUCACCACACUGGCCUGCAUGUUCAGAUCCUUCAGAAACACCACUGACCUGGAGCAGGUGCACUAUCAAGACUUGCUGCAGUUCAUACAGAAGGCUGUACAAGACGUGAAACAGCAAAGUGUUGAGGCAGAGAUCUGGGAUGCGUCAGUGGGCAGUACUGACCUGGAAUCAGUGAGCGACUGGAGCGAUAUAAAUGAAGAACAAAGAGAGACAUGGCUUCAGAGGUUCCAGAAGAUGGAGAUGGCCUUACAAAUGUGUGACACCAGAAACACAGGUUAUGUGGAUAGAGAGCAAGCCAAACGCCUGAUACAGAACUACAGCCUCAUCUUUGAUCUGAAUAUGAGUCCACUAAAGAUCAGCGAGGUCAUGGGUAACACUCAGCGAGAGGGCAAAGUUCACCUCACCUCGACUCUGCAGCAGCUGAAGGAACUAUACUCCUCUUUUCCUUUCACUUAAAUCUAUGCAAAUGCUAUCAUCUUCAUUAAAUGCUCUGUCUAGGAAACAUUAACAAUGAUCCUGUAAAAAAGGCUUUUUUGGAAAACAUUGAAAACUGAGUGAAUUUUUUUUUUUUUUUUUUUUAUAAUAUAUUGUAUAAAAAAAACUUAAUCCUAAAUUAAUCAUAUCCUAAAUAAAUAAAUAUUCCUAAGAAUAAUUGUAAUUUUCCCUUAAAAAAAUAUUUCUUAUUUUCCUUUUGAUUUUAGAUUUCUUUGGUCAGGUUUCAUGACAUUGACGUCACCCUCACUUUCUGCAGUUUAAUCAGUCAACAAUCAACUGUUACUUUUGGGGUUCUAGUGUGCUUUAAUAGUUCUGGUUCAUAAUUUCAAUAUUCAAGCAAGAAAUUGUUGCAAAAACAGGAAUAAAAAUGUACUUUUGGUGCUCAGAUGUGUGCUCACAGUCAGUUCUGGUCAAUGAUUGCCAUAUUUAAUGCUUAUUGGUGCAGGAAUAAACAGAUGUACAUACAUGAUCUAAAGAAUAUUGAAUUACUUCUGCAAUGUUUAAAAAAUAAAAUAAAAAUUCUCAUGUGCAAUACUGGACUCGACCAAAAGUAAAACAUUCUUAC